rnacentral:rRNA from 1 species
AUGAACGCUGGCGGCGUGCCUAAUACAUGCCAGUCGAGCGAACGGACGAGAAGCUUGCUUCUCUGAUGUUAGCGGCGGACGGGUGAGUAACACGUGGAUAACCUACCUAUAAGACUGGGAUAACUUCGGGAUACCGGAGCUAAUACCGGAUGAUAUUUUGAACCGCAUGGUUCAAAAGUGAAAGACGGUCUUGCUGUCACUUAUAGAUGGAUCCGCGCUGCAUUAGCUAGUUGGUAAGGUAACGGCUUACCAAGGCAACGACGCAUAGCCGACCUGAGAGGGUGAUCGGCCACACUGGAACUGAGACACGGUCCAGACUCCUACGGGAGGCAGCAGUAGGGAAUCUUCCGCAAUGGGCGAAAGCCUGACGGAGCAACGCCGCGUGAGUGAUGAAGGUCUUCGGAUCGUAAAACUCUGUUAUUAGGGAAGAACAUAUGUGUAAGUAACUGUGCACAUCUUGACGGUACCUAAUCAGAAAGCCACGGCUAACUACGUG